rnacentral:rRNA from 1 species
UGGGGAAUUUUGGACAAUGGGGGAAACCCUGAUCCAGCAAUGCCGCGUGUGUGAAGAAGGCCUUCGGGUUGUAAAGCACUUUUGUCCGGAAAGAAAACUUCUGCCCUAAUACGGCGGGAGGAUGACGGUACCGGAAGAAUAAGCACCGGCUAACUACGUGCCAGCAGCCGCGGUAAUACGUAGGGUGCGAGCGUUAAUCGGAAUUACUGGGCGUAAAGCGUGCGCAGGCGGUUCGUUAAGACAGAUGUGAAAUCCCCGGGCUUAACCUGGGAACUGCAUUUGUGACUGGCGAGCUAGAGUAUGGCAGAGGGGGGUAGAAUUCCACGUGUAGCAGUGAAAUGCGUAGAGAUGUGGAGGAAUACCGAUGGCGAAGGCAGCCCCCUGGGCCAAUACUGACGCUCAUGCACGAAAGCGUGGGGAGCAAACAGGAUUAGAUACCCCCGUAGUCC